GAUGAACGCUGGCGGCGUGCCUAAUACAUGCAAGUCGAGCGAACAGAUGAGGAGCUUGCUCCUCUGACGUUAGCGGCGGACGGGUGAGUAACACGUGGAUAACCUACCUAUAAGACUGGGAUAACUUCGGGAAACCGGAGCUAAUACCGGAUAAUAUAUUGAACCGCAUGGUUCAAUAGUGAAAGACGGUUUUGCUGUCACUUAUAGAUGGAUCCGCGCCGCAUUAGCUAGUUGGUAAGGUAACGGCUUACCAAGGCGACGAUGCGUAGCCGACCUGAGAGGGUGAUCGGCCACACUGGAACUGAGACACGGUCCAGACUCCUACGGGAGGCAGCAGUAGGGAAUCUUCCGCAAUGGGCGAAAGCAUGACGGAGCAACGCCGCGUGAGUGAUGAAGGUCUUCGGAUCGUAAAACUCUGUUAUUAGGGAAGAACAAAUGUGUAAGUAACUAUGCACGUCUUGACGGUACCUAAUCAGAAAGCCACGGCUAACUACGUG
rnacentral:rRNA from 1 species